rnacentral:rRNA from 2 species
CCUACGGGAGGCAGCAGUGGGGAAUUUUGCGCAAUGGGCGAAAGCCUGGCGCAGCAACGCCGCGUGAGUGAUGAAGGCCCUCGGGUCGUAAAGCUCUGUCAGAGGGGAAGAACCUCCAAUCGGUUAAUAUCCGGUUGGCCUGACGGUACCCUCAAAGGAAGCACCGGCUAACUCCGUGCCAGCAGCCGCGGUAAU